AAUCUGUUGCCAUUCGAUCAAUGCCAACAUGUGAUCAGCACCAUUGACUCACAGCCCUCCUCCUUCACUGGUGGCAUCAUGGUCUUUGUCAGUGGCAGCCUUAAACUACCCGGGGAGGAGCACCAACUAAGAUUUAGCCAGGUAUUAAUUAUCCUUGGCACAGCCGAGAGAAAAAUACACCAAAAACUCAUUAGCCCAUUCCUUAGAUUACAACAAAUUUACUGGUAUGGGACAAGAACCUAGUUAUUGAUAGAAG
rnacentral:lncRNA from 1 species